rnacentral:rRNA from 1 species
CAGCCGCCACGGUAAUACAGAGGGUGCAAGCGUUAAUCGGAAUUACUGGGCGUAAAGCGCGCGUAGGUGGUUUGUUAAGUUGGAUGUGAAAUCCCCGGGCUCAACCUGGGAACUGCAUCCAAAACUGGCAAGCUAGAGUAUGGUAGAGGGUGGUGGAAUUUCCUGUGUAGCGGUGAAAUGCGUAGAUAUAGGAAGGAACACCAGUGGCGAAGGCGACCACCUGGACUGAUACUGACACUGAGGUGCGAAAGCGUGGGGAGCAAACAGGAUUAGAGACCCCAGUAGUCCCUGUCUCUUAUAC